rnacentral:rRNA from 2 species
GUUAUCGUUUAUUUGAUAGUACCUUACUACUUGGAUAACCGUGGUAAUUCUAGAGCUAAUACAUGCUGAAAACCCUGACUUCGGAAAGGGUGUAUUUAUUAGAUAAAAAACCAAUGCCCUUUGGGCUCUUUGGUGAUUCAUGAUAACUUAACGGAUCGCAUGGCCUUGCGCCGGCGACGGUUCAUUCAAAUUUCUGCCCUAUCAACUUUCGAUGGUAAGGUAUUGGCUUACCAUGGUUUCAACGGGUAACGGGGAAUUAGGGUUCGAUUCCGGAGAGGGAGCCUGAGAAACGGCUACCACAUCCAAGGAAGGCAGCAGGCGCGCAAAUUACCCAAUCCCGACACGGGGAGGUAGUGACAAUAAAUACUGAUACAGGGCUCUUUUGGGUCUUGUAAUCGGAAUGAGUACAAUUUAAACCUCUUAACGAGGAACAAUUGGAGGGCAAGUCUGGUGCCAGCAGCCGCGGUAAUUCCAGCUCCAAUAGCGUAUAUUAAAGUUGUUGCAGUUAAAAAGCUCGUAGUUGAAUCUUGGGCCUGGCUGGCCGGUCCGCCUCACCGCGUGUACUGGUCUGGCCGGGCCUUUCCUUCUGGAGAACCUCAUGCCCUUCAGUGGGUGUGUUGGGGAACCAGGACUUUUACUUUGAAAAAAUUAGAGUGUUCAAAGCAGGCCUUUGCUCGAAUACGUUAGCAUGGAAUAAUAGAAUAGGACGUGCGGUCCUAUUUUGUUGGUUUCUAGGACCGCCGUAAUGAUUAAUAGGGAUAGUCGGGGGCAUCAGUAUUCAAUUGUCAGAGGUGAAAUUCUUGGAUUUAUUGAAGACUAACUACUGCGAAAGCAUUUGCCAAGGAUGUUUUCAUUAAUCAGUGAACGAAAGUUAGGGGAUCGAAGACGAUCAGAUACCGUCGUAGUCUUAACCGUAAACUAUGCCGACUAGGGAUC